rnacentral:tRNA from 1 species
UCCUCCUUAGCUCAGUCGGUUAGAGCAUCUGACUGUUAAUCAGAGGGUCGCUGGUUCGAGCCCAGCAGGAGGAGCUA